AGGCGAUAUUACAUCUUUGAUGUUUGAUUCAGAAGACUCGAGAUAGAAAUAUGUACUUUCUUGAGGAAAAGUAGGAUAGUUUAGAAGAUUUGAGAAAUUUUGUAAUUCGGUGACCGUUGAGGAAUGUUUAAAAAUUGAGAUAUUAUCUAUGAGACUACAAGAGAAAUAGUAUAAAAGAAAAUAAUAUUUUGAAAUUGAGAAAUUAUACUUCAUGAAGCAAUUCAUUGUACUUCUCAACUUUUCACGUAUCAGUACUCGUGCUUCCUUUCUUGUUCGAUGCAGGUAAAUCCGACGUAGCCAAAACAACUCACGGAAUCACGCGAGCUGCGGAUUUCGAAAAAGUCGCGUAAUUGGAGCCUGGAACGAAGGGCGAGGUGACCGAGGGAUUUAAUUCACGGGCACGUGCUGUUGGUGCGUCGAAAAGCAUGCAUCGGAACAUGUUGGACCUCACGUGACUCACGGUGUAUAAUUUGCGUGGUCGUAUUGCGGAUGUAUACACGUGCAAAACCUUGGAGCACAGGCCGGCACGGCGUCUUGUUUAAACAUGCAUGGACGAAAGUAGGAUUGAGUCGAGAGCACCCGCAAAAGCGACACAAAUUUUCUUGCUUAACUUCCCUCAUGCCGAUUCUCUUUUUAUGGACAAACAAACUAUUUGCUCGCCUCAAAUUAUUCUGGGUGUGAUAUUGUGUUUGUGUAUUUCUAAUAUGUACUCUAAUUAAAAAAUAACGAAAUACAAGUGAAUUUGUAUCGCGAUAAUACAGUGGGUGUAGAAGUUCUGGCUCUCGGAAUGUACACCGUUCUCAUGUUAAUCAAUGGUAUUUUGGAGUCGUCGACACUUUGCAUUAUGCCUUUCGCAUUAGCUGGUUUAUUAUUCGCAGACUUGGUGGUCCUUAUCGUAGUCAAACGCUAAGUAAGAAGAUCAAAAUACUAAACCAUACGGAAAAUGGACCUGUUUCUAUUAAACAUUAAGCUAGUUCUCGAAUUGUGCAAUUUUU